rnacentral:hammerhead_ribozyme from 1 species
AUUCAGCUGACGAGUCCGAAAUAGGAUGAAACACGAGUUCUGAAU